rnacentral:rRNA from 1 species
AUUGAACGCUGGCGGCAGGCUUAACACAUGCAAGUCGAGCGAGCGGCGGACGGGUGAGUAAUGUCUGGGAAACUGCCUGAUGGAGGGGGAUAACUACUGUAAACGGUAGCUAAUACCGCAUACCAUCAGAUGUGCCCAGAUGGGAUUAGCUGGUAGGUGGGGUAACGGAUCACCAAGGCGACGAUCCCUAGCUGGUCGGAGAGGAUGACCAGCCACACGGGAACUGAGACACGGUCCAGACUCAUACGGGAGGCAGCAGUGGUGAAUAUUGCACAAUGGGCGCAAGACUGAUGAAGCCAUGCCGCGUGUGUGAAGAAGGCCUUCGGGUUGUAAAGGACUUUCAGCGAGGAGGCGUUACUCGCAGAAGAAGCACCGGCUAACUCCGUGCCAGCAGCCGCGGUAAUAC